UUUAUUUGAACUAUUUUCCAUUUGUUUGAGUUUUUUCCUCCCUGCCUAGUCAAAUGUUGACUUUGUGUGACACAUGUUCCCAUUUCAUUUGUGAAAUUCUCAUACUUUAUUAGAUGGACAUGAAAUUUUGCAUGAGAUAACUAGACAUCCUCAUCUUUGCCAUGGCUUUAGUCCCAUUCAUUUAUCAUACACCAUUCUUGACUUAUGAUUUUUCUAAGUUGAUGCAUGUUUGGUUGACUUCUUUGAGCAUGUUCAAAUUGGCUUUGACUUUCUGAUUUUCAUUGACUGCCUUCCACUUGUCCAAAUGGGAUGAAAUUUGACAUGCUUACCAUGCUAUGUGUUAGGUUUGAUCAUGAUUUAUUUGGUGAUUUUUGGAAAAUGUUUAGAUUGCUUUUUAUGCAAGUCUUGCU
rnacentral:lncRNA from 1 species